GACACACCAAAGUCAAAGAGCACUGAGUUAAUAUAUCUUUGUAUACUGCUAUUAAAGUGCUGACCGGUUCUAAAUCAGACCAAAUGUUUGUUAUAUUCGAUAUUCAUAUCGAAUCGAAUAUCUAUAUACGAUAUUCCAAACAUUUGCAAGGUGGCAUUUUGAAAUGUCACCUUGUAGAUAUUUGGAAUAUCGAAUAUCUUAUAUCGAAUAUAUAUAUUCGAUAUCAGUAUCGAAUAUAACAAACAUUUGGUCUGAUUUAGAACUGGACGGCACUUUAGCAGUAUACAGAGAUAUAUUAACUCAGUCUCACUCUCAGUGCUCUUUGGUGUGUGUGUC